UUUAACUUAAACGCUUUACUAAAUUUUUUUUGUGGAUCAUAGAAAGCAGCACUUACAAAGUGCUGAUUUUUAGAUCCAUCUGUAUAUAACUUAUAAUAAUAUUUACAAUUUUUAUCAAUAAACAUCCGGAAGUCUAUGUUUGACGUAAUAUUCAACAAAUGAAUUUUAUUUUUCAUAAUCAAGCUCUCAAAGGAGCAAGAGUACAUGGGCCAGGCGUUACUAACAUUUAUGUUAGUGGCAAUAUUAUGCAUAUAUGUCAUAAUAAUAGAUAUGGUAGGUUGUUUACCUGCCAAAAGUGAAUUUGCAGUCGCUUGUAAAGAUUCAGUAGUAGAUUUAGUUACAGUUAGUAGACUAUUUGGAAGCAAAAGUUUGUUCACUAUUGAAGAGCUCGAUGAUAGAGCUUUCAAACAAAAUCUUUCAGCUAAAUAUAUGCGUCUUACAAUUAAAGGAGAAAUACAAGUCUCUACUUCCAUUGAAUUAACAGGUGUAGAGCGCAUAGCCCCACUUAUUAUGCGCAAGCCAAUGUUUUGAAUAACAUCAAGUUUUUUUAAUAAUGUGGAAUUGGCUUGCAUAUAUGCAAGGAAACUAUAAUCAAAGUGACUUCUGACCAUGCUUUUAUAUAAUAGAGAUAGGACUUUAGGAUCAGAGCCCCAAAACGUUCCAGUCAAACAUCUCAAUAAAUUAAUGCCUUUUAACGCAUUUUUGCUAAUAUAAUUAAUAUGUCUGUCAAAUUUUAAUUUAUUAUCGAUAAUUACACCCAAAAAUUUCUUUUGAUUUACAAAUGGAAUAUCUGUACCAUUAUAUUUGAUGUUAUUCCCCACUGGGCUGCCAAAAAUCAUACAUGAACUUUUGGAAGUAUUGAUAUUUAAUUUUAACAAAUUUUUAUAAUAAGACUGCAACUGGAACAGUGCCGAAUUAAUAGUAUUUUUAGCUAUUUCUAUAUUUCUAUUUACACUAUACAUUAACAAGUCAUCCGCAAAUUGUAAAAUUUUAACAUCUCCUAAUAAAAAAUUUUCAAUUUGUGAGGUGUAUAAAUUAUACAAAAUUGGUGACAAUGCUGAACCUUGCAUAAGACCUUUACUAGUUUGGUUUAUCCCAUGGAGUAUAUUAUUGUACUUAACAUAAAAGUGUCUAUUAUUAAAAAAAUUUGAAAGCCAUUUUAACAUUUUUCCAGGGAUACCGAUUUCAUGAAGACAAUUGAUGAGCUGGUUUAAGUCCACAUUAUCAUAAGCACCCUCUAUAUCCAAAAAUAUACAUACUGCUGUGGAUUUAGACAAUUGACAAUUCUUCAUAUCAUAUAUAAAUGAAGUUAUACUCUCUGAUGCGCUUUUACCUCUACGGAAACCAUAUUGAAAACCUGGUGGACAAUAAACACAAAGUAUUGAUAAGUCACCAACAUUGGUUCCUAAAGAAAUUGCUAUGGAUUGAACAUCUUCAUAAAAUUUUGUUUUCAGAAGUUUAUAUUUAAAUGUAUUUCUUAAUAAAAUACCUACACCACCAUGUUCAUUCUUUGCAUUUUUUCCAACAAAGUUAUAGCCUGGGAUUUUUACAAGAUUACUAGAGUUUUUAAGCCAAGUUUCAUUUAAUAAUAAAAUAUCAAUAUUUUCCUGUGUUAAAAAUGUUUUUACUAAGGGUUUUUUAUUAUUAAUACUCUGAAUGUUAUGUUGAGCAAUAAUGAGCUUUGAAGCCAUUAAACUUUAUUCAAAUGUUUCAAAAAUGCUUCUUUAAUUUUACUUGUGCUUUUUAUGUCAUUUGAGUUUCCUAUAGUAACUAAUGUAUUAAUUAUUGCGGAUAAUAUUUUUUUAUUAUUAAUGAUAUCUGAAUAAGAAAUAUCUAAAUUUUCUUGUGUGUCUAGUUUAGAUUGGUGGAAUUUUUGCUGUAUUUGUUGAGGCUUCGGGAGAGUAGGAAAAUUAACACUAUUAAUUUCAAUUACCUUAGCAUAAGAUUGUUUAUUUUUUUCUAAUCUCGCUGCCUUUAUAGGGCAAGUUUUGGAUAUGGCUAAGUGAGCUCCACCACAAUUAGUGCACUUCAAUGUAUCAGCCGUGCAUGCUUUGUAGUGGUGUUCACCAGCACAGCGUGAACAGACCUGUAUAUUUUUGCAUAUUUUCCCAUAGUGAUUAAAUCUCAUACAUUUAAAACAUUGCAUUAGUGGAGGAAUAUAUGUAUAGACCUUAUAACGCCAAUUGUCUAAAUAUAUAUAUUGUGGUAAAGUUGUUCCUGCAAAAAUUACACUAAUAGUUGACAAAGGAACAACAUCGUCUACAACCUUUUUCAUGAAUCGUCUUACACCAAUAAUCUCACACUCUGAAGAAAGUUUAUUAAAUAGUUCAUGGUUACUGGACUCUUUAGGUAUAAACCUGACAACCCCCACCCUCUCCACAGAAGAUGCCGGGAUGAAGGCACGAAGAUUGUAAACCGUUAGGCAUUCAUGUUUGAGAAAAUCAUUGGCUGCUGUUGCUUGUUUGAAUACUAACAUUAUUUUGUUAGCAUUAAUGCGCCUGCUCUCAUAGAUACCUUUUACUUGUUUAAAGUAUUUGGACACAACUAAUGGGUUUUUGUUCCCCAAUUUAAUUUCCGCCUCACUGCUUUCCACAAACACUGGGAAUUCCGCGUUAGUGCUAUUAUCCGUGUAGGCUCUGCUAUAACCUGCCUUUAUAUAGGGUUUAUAUUUUAAACUCUCGUCCUCACCAGACUUAUGCACUUUACGUUUUUUUCUGUCUAGCCUUUCGUAGGCAUCACCAUCACUGUCUGACGGCAUUUUGCCUGAUUUAAUUUACAUUUGUACACUUUAUUUCACACGUAUAUUACUGAAAAAGUUUUAAAUUAAAAUUUUCAAUUUUAAAAGCGCGCUUCUCGAUUCCCGCCAAAAAUCGAAUCCCCCAUCCAUCACUUCAUUUACAGUUUUUCACAGAUGUUUUCAAUUUUCGAUCCUGCAAACGCAGACGACAAAUUCAAUGUACUCCACAGAUUAAUAGAUACUCUACCACACUCUCCUCUAUGGAAAUGGAUUCAUUAUUUUCUUGUUCGAAGUAGUGACACUUGACAAUGAUUGAUACUUAUAAUCAGGCCCUCCCAACCGUAGAAUAAAAAAUGAGAAUCCUCCAUCCUUUACUAACAAAAGAGAGAGAUAUCUCCAUCCUUCUCCUUGUUAUGGGCUGUAGUAGGUGGUGGCCAUGCCUAUCUCUUUCACCUGUACACUUAAAUAAACUUGCACACUGUUACAAUUCUAAGUAUCGAAGAACUGAUGUGAUUGGUCAAAUUUACACAAAGAAAAAUAAUAGCUUUUAUGAAUGAAAGAGAAAUGUGUUUAUACCACGUGUGUAAGAUAGUUUUGAAUUUGUUGCCUCGUGCCUGCGCCGCCAUUGUAAUUUUACUGCGAAAGAUUGGUUUUGACUUUUCAAUAAUUGAAAUCAUUGAAAUUCGCAUGAGCGCCGCUGGAAUUACUAAUAAUAAGGAUAAAUCUUUCUUGUUAAUUAAUUAUCUUCACUAUUUAAAUAAAUUUUGAUUUAUAAAAAGAUAUACAAUGUAGUUCGAUUCGUGCUUGGUUAUUGAUAAAAGUAAUUUUGUUUUAAAUGUGUUAUUCCCAAGUGUAAAACGCGAUCAAAUUACGUGCUGUACCUUUUACUGAUAGUGAUAACACUAGAUGGGAGGCAUGGUUCAUCAAUUGUCCAAUAUUACGGAAAUAUACUCGUAGGCAGUUAGAAAACGUUAAAAUUUGUGAAAACCACUUUCUACCCAGAAAAAAGACCUACUUAUUGGUAAUCAACGUGCACAGUGGUCCAUCAUUGAGGAGCUCUAUGCUACAGAUGGUGAAGCCGGACGUGCAAGAACCACAACCCUGACGGAUAAACACAUUAGACCAACUUCUUAUGACAAGAUGAA